UACGUAGGGUCCGAGCGUUGUCCGGAAUUAUUGGGCGUAAAGGGCUCGUAGGCGGUUUGUCGCGUCGGGAGUGAAAACACGGGGCUUAACCCCGUGCCUGCUUCCGAUACGGGCAGACUAGAGGUAUGCAGGGGAGAACGGAAUUCCUGGUGUAGCGGUGAAAUGCGCAGAUAUCAGGAGGAACACCGAUGGCGAAGGCAGAUCUCUGGGCCGUAACUGACGCUGAGGAGCGAAAGCAUGGGGAGCGAACAGG
rnacentral:rRNA from 1 species